rnacentral:tRNA from 1 species
GGAGAGAUGGCCGAGUGGUUUAAGGCGCACGCUUGGAAAGCGUGUAAAGGGGCAACUCUUUCGCGGGUUCGAAUCCCGCUCUCUCCG